CGCCAGAUAGCUUAGUUGGUAGAGCACCUGACUAGAGAUUCAGGGGGCCCGGGUUCGAAACCCGGUCUGGUCC
rnacentral:tRNA from 1 species